rnacentral:lncRNA from 1 species
ACACCUGAGCCAAUUAGCUCCGGAGAUCAGAAGAGGCCUGAAAACGGAGCCGAGCCCUUAUUCUCGGGAUGGAGAAAGUCACUUGAUCCCAGGUGACACACAACUCCCAGCUGAUGGAAGACAUCCCCAGGCAGAGGAGGGAGGGCAGAUGCAGUGACUUGUGUCAGGACAGCGUUCUCCAUGCUGGCUGCGGGUGACGGCCUGAGCCCCGG